rnacentral:tRNA from 1 species
GUUGUCUUAGCUCAGUUGGUUGAGUGCUUGGCUUUUGAUUAAGUGGUUGCGGGUUUGAUUCCCAUUGACUACA